rfam:Astyanax mexicanus chromosome 22, whole genome shotgun sequence.
UUUACUCUAUGAAGGCGCCUCUUGAAAUCUAUUGUGAGGGGGGUGUCUGAUGAAAAUGUAAA